rnacentral:lncRNA from 1 species
AAGUACAUCUCGUGAUAACCUUCAAAAUUUGCCACAAACAUUGCCGAUGUCUUUUAAGAACCAAAUGGAAUCCAUUAAAUAGUAACUACAAACACUAUAAAUGCACAAAGUUAGAUGUUGUAGAGUGAGCGCUUCUUCAAAUAACGAUUUGGCUACAAAUUGCGAUUGAACACUUACUACCCACAUUUAGAACCCCCUCCCCCCCCC